CAGAUUGAACGCUGGCGGCAGGCCUAACACAUGCAAGUCGAGCGGUAGCACAGAGAGCUUGCUCUCGGGUGACGAGCGGCGGACGGGUGGGUAAUGUCUGGGAAACUGCCUGAUGGAGGGGGAUAACUACUGGAAACGGUAGCUAAUACCGCAUAAUGUCGCAAGACCAAAGUGGGGGACCUUCGGGCCUCAUGCCAUCAGAUGUGCCCAGAUGGGAUUAGCUAGUAGGUGGGGUAACGGCUCACCUAGGCGACGAUCCCUAGCUGGUCUGAGAGGAUGACCAGCCACACUGGAACUGAGACACGGUCCAGACUCCUACGGGAGGCAGCAGUGGGGAAUAUUGCACAAUGGGCGCAAGCCUGAUGCAGCCAUGCCGCGUGUGUGAAGAAGGCCUUCGGGUUGUAAAGCACUUUCAGCGGGGAGGAAGGCGUUAAGGUUAAUAACCUUGGCGAUUGACGUUACCCGCAGAAGAAGCACCGGCUAACUCCGUGCCAGCAGCCGCGGUAAUACGGAGGGUGCAAGCGUUAAUCGGAAUUACUGGGCGUAAAGCGCACGCAGGCGGUCUGUCAAGUCGGAUGUGAAAUCCCCGGGCUCAACCUGGGAACUGCAUUCGAAACUGGCAGGCUAGAGUCUUGUAGAGGGGGGUAGAAUUCCAGGUGUAGCGGUGAAAUGCGUAGAGAUCUGGAGGAAUACCGGUGGCGAAGGCGGCCCCCUGGACAAAGACUGACGCUCAGGUGCGAAAGCGUGGGGAGCAAACAGGAUUAGAUACCCUGGUAGUCCACGCCGUAAACGAUGUCGAUUUGGAGGUUGUGCCCUUGAGGCGUGGCCUCCGGAGCUAACGCGUUAAAUCGACCGCCUGGGGAGUACGGCCGCAAGGUUAAAACUCAAAUGAAUUGACGGGGGCCCGCACAAGCGGUGGAGCAUGUGGUUUAAUUCGAUGCAACGCGAAGAACCUUACCUGGUCUUGACAUCCACAGAACUUUCCAGAGAUGGAUUGGUGCCUUCGGGAACUGUGAGACAGGUGCUGCAUGGCUGUCGUCAGCUCGUGUUGUGAAAUGUUGGGUUAAGUCCCGCAACGAGCGCAACCCUUAUCCUUUGUUGCCAGCGGUUCGGCCGGGAACUCAAAGGAGACUGCCAGUGAUAAACUGGAGGAAGGUGGGGAUGACGUCAAGUCAUCAUGGCCCUUACGACCAGGGCUACACACGUGCUACAAUGGCAUAUACAAAGAGAAGCGACCUCGCGAGAGCAAGCGGACCUCAUAAAGUAUGUCGUAGUCCGGAUUGGAGUCUGCAACUCGACUCCAUGAAGUCGGAAUGGCUAGUAAUCGUAGAUCAGAAUGCUACGGUGAAUACGUUCCCGGGCCUUGUACACACCGCCCGUCACACCAUGGGAGUGGGUUGCAAAAGAAGUAGGUAGCUUAACCUUCGGGAGGGCGCUUACCACUUUGUGAUU
rnacentral:rRNA from 1 species